rnacentral:lncRNA from 1 species
CUCUCUAUUAACACUUUCUCUAAACACUCUCUCUACUUAGCUCUCUCCGAACUAAAGGCUACUUAGUCCGGAAUUGCGAUGGCCAAGUGGCCGUGUUCUGUGCCUGCUUAUCACACAGCAGCCGCUGGCGACCACCUGAGGUGUGGCCCUGGGGCCCUGGCACCGGGUCCCUGACUUCUCCACGGGAGCGUCAGUGACACCGGCGGCUGGUGCCUACGUGCUGGACGCCAGGUCCGGAGUCCUGGUCAGCCCUUGGCUGCUUCCAGCACAUUCCACCGUCAAGAAGCCAGCUGUCGGGGCGUUCGCUGCUCCUUGACAAAGGGCCUCUCCUCUACCUGCUGUUCUAAGCUCUUCAGUCUCACUGAGUGAACAUCCCAGGUAGGCUCGCUUGCAGUUACUGGGUUGAAGUCCCUGAGCUGCGGACCGUCAGUGGAAACCUCCCAGUCAUCUCCCCGCACUCGGGGCCCAGGGCAGGCUCUGCCCGACUCGCCCGCCUCUCGCCCUCUUCUCAUCUCUGCGCUGUGUCCCAGGUCAUCUCCUCAGACGAUCUUCCAGCUCUCCAACUCUCUGUUUAGCUGCAUCCGAUUGUUAAAUGUAACAUGUUUGUUGUAUCUCCGAGCUGUUUUUCCACCCUUUAAACGCAGUGAAGCGUGGCGUCUGCUAGUUUCUGCCUCUGAAGUCUGUGCGGACUUCCUAUUCCUUCUGAGCCUCCCUCACGGUGUCCAGUGUACCUGUCGCCUCCCACUGUGCUGGCUAAUGUCGCAGAACCACCCGAGGCUCAGACUGGAGGCAGCCUCCACCUGGGAGAGCCUGGAGGCAGCAGCUGCUGGGACCACGCCUACCAGACGGAGGCUGGGGGUGGAGUCACAGCGCACAGUUUAGGCUGUGAACCUGGGUGCCAACGCCUGCUGGGCAAACCGCUUCUGGGCUCCCUCGCCCGAGGUACAGCGUUUCUGCCAUCAGACCCCCGCUCUCAACGGCCCGAGGCCCGGGCCAGGGAGGCCCUUGCGGGAGGGGGGGCCUCUCCCGAGGCAGCAGAGGUCCCUCACCUUCUGCCCCAUCCCACCCCGGACCGCGUGUUCUCCAAACCUGAUGCUUUCUGUCUCAUGAGCUCCCGACACUUUUGAUAAAAUGUUUUCAAAAAUCUUAUCUCACUCGGGGGGUUAUCUACCAUCCUCAGAAACAGGAAGGCCAACGUGCUGUUUUGAGGUGAAACAGAGGAAAUGAUAACCCUGCUCCCAUCCUGGACCCAGGACACAUGGAGACGGGAACUGGAAGGGGGGCUCGGGAAGCCAGCCUCGCGGCGGCAGAGGCCCAGAGCAGGACGGGUGGGGGGGGCGGACACCCUCCGCAC